AGCCUGGUAAUAUAUAAAAUAUUUUAAAUUGCAAAUUUGAGUAAGGAACAAUCCCCGGGUUU
rnacentral:tRNA from 1 species